rnacentral:misc_RNA from 1 species
GAUGAAGAACGUAGCGAAAUGCGAUAAGUAAUGUGAAUUGCAGAAUUCAGUGAAUCAUCGAAUCUUUGAACGCACAAUGCGCCCCCUGGUAUUCCGGGGGGCAUGCCUGUUCGAGCGUCAUUUCACCACUCAAGCCUCGCUUGGUAUUGGGCAACGCGGUCCGCCGCGUGCCUCAAAUCGACCGGCUGGGUCUUCUGUCCCCUAAGCGUUGUGGAAACUAUUCGCUAAAGGGUGUUCGGGAGGCUACGCCGUAAAACAACCCCAUUUCUAAGGUUGACCUCGGAUCAGGUAGGGAUACCCGCUGAACUUAAGCAUAUCAAUAACGGAGGA